GAGCGAUGUCCUCCACAAGGUGGUGAGGUGGAGCGAUCUUUUCUGCAUAGCUAAGGGGUGGCGUGAAGUUCAAGGUGGAGCACGAGAACGGAGCAAUGGCCACCACAAAGCCAGCGGAGAGGUUUGAAGUCCAGGCGGAGACAGACUGGAAGCAAUGUUCUCCCGAUGCCAGAGGGAGGAGCAACGUCCUUUGCGAAGCAAGAAGGGGGAGCGACGUACACCGCAAAGCAAGGGGGACGAGCGAGGUCCUCAGUGGAGCAAGAAGGUGUAGCGAGUACCUCAGCGGGGCAAGAAGGUGGCGCGAGGACCUCAGCGGGGCAAGAAGGUGGAGCGAGGACCUCAGCGGGGCAAGAAGGUGGCGCGAGGACCUCAGUGGGGCAAGAACGUGGAGCGAGGACCUCAGCGGGGCAAGAAGGUGGAGCGAGGACCUCAGCGGGGCAAGAAGGUGGAGCGAGGACCUCAGCGGGGCAAGAAGGUGGAGCGAGGACCUCAGCGGGCAAGGAGGCGGAGUGAGGUCUUCAGCGGAGCAAGGAGGCAGAGUGAGGACCUCAGCGGGUAAGGAGGCGGAGUGAGGUCUUCAGCGGAGCAAGGAGGCAGAGUGAGGACCUCAGCAGGGCAAGCAGGCGGUGUGAGGACCUCAGUGUAGCAAGGAGGCAGAGUGAAGUCCUCUGUGGAGCAAGGAGGCGGACUGAGGUUCUCAGAGGGGCAAGGAAGUAGGGCGACUUCCGAAGUGUGUCAGGAAGGGUGCCCUGAGAGGAAUGCUCCUGUAACCAUAAUAACCACUCUUUACAACCAUGGUGAGCAGAAAUGCAUCUCAGAGGGCUCAACACCUCAAAAUAUGAGACGACUGGGUUGCAACAGCAGAGGACCACAUCAGGUUCCAC
ensembl:lncRNA